rnacentral:rRNA from 1 species
CCUACGGGGAGGCAGCAGUGGGGAAUCUUGCGCAAUGGGCGAAAGCCUGACGCAGCCAUGCCGCGUGUAUGAUGAAGGUCUUAGGAUUGUAAAAUACUUUCACCGGUGAAGAUAAUGACUGUAGCCGGAGAAGAAGCCCCGGCUAACUUCGUGCCAGCAGCCGCGGUAAUACGAAGGGGGCUAGCGUUGCUCGGAAUUACUGGGCGUAAAGGGAGCGUAGGCGGACAUUUAAGUCAGGGGUGAAAUCCCAGAGCCCAACUCUGGAACUGCCUUUGAUACUGGGUGUCUUGAGUGUGAUAGAGGUAUGUGGAACUCCGAGUGUAGAGGUGAAAUUCGUAGAUAUUCGGAAGAACACCAGUGGCGAAGGCGACAUACUGGAUCAUUACUGACGCUGAGGCUCGAAAGCGUGGGGAGCAAACAGGAUUAGAUACCCUGGUAGUCCACGCCGUAAACGAUGAUUGCUAGUUGUCGGGAUGUUUACAUCUCGGUGACGCAGCUAACGCAUUAAGCAAUCCGCCUGGGGAGUACGGUUGCAAGAUUAAAACUCAAAGGAAUUGACGG